UUAAUUGCUCAAACUUAGGUGGCUGCGCUUUCAGUUGCCUUGGCCUCAUAUUUGGAACAUCUUCCUCCACCUUCCAGCUUUGCUUUCCUCCUUUAAGACACACUUGAUUUAGGAAAGUGAACUUGAAUCAAUACAAGUCCAGGCAAGAUUGCAUCUUUGUAUCAAAAACAAGAGGAGAACAUUGGAAAGAAAACUAAAACCAUAUUUGUAAGGAACUCUCCAAAACAGCACAUGAAGUCUUGAAGUUGUUUGGCUAUACAGUUUCAAGAUUGACAAUUCCUGCAUUUGAGGAUUUCCUUCUUAUUAAAUAAUGCAGUAGGUGAACCGCAACAAAAGAGAAAUACGGAAUAGGAAUGAUCAAUAGACACAUGAUUUUUGCUUUCACAGGGAAACAAAAGUCUCAGCUUGGAACAAACAGACCUGAGGCUGACCAGAAGAAGCCCAGUUUGAGUGACAGCAUGCUAUGGGACUUGGAACAUUCUAUAAUCUUAUUUGGAAGAAGGUGCCUCAUGAAACACUGCUGGCCAAAUUACAACAUUUACAGAGGUCUUCAAGAACAUUAAAAAUGAUUGAAAGGAGGAUUAACAGUGAACAAAAUCCUCCAAGACAGUAAAAUACAACUUUACCACAUUUGAUACCAUUCCACAACAUAUUCAAAAAGAUGAAGGCAAACAGAUACAAAAGAUGUAAUUGAGAACAUUCUCUCAAGAACGUCAAUGAUAAGAUAACCUGAAGCAGAUAUUAUGUUAAACUUUGCAAAGGUGUCAGUGAGUAAAUGUGACAGCUCUAUUCAUUCACAGAUAUUAUAUUACCAAUAAACGUCAGAAAG